rnacentral:rRNA from 1 species
GAUGAACGCUAGCGGCAGGCUUAACACAUGCAAGUCGAGGGGUAUAGUUCUUCGGAAUUAGAGACCGGCGCACGGGUGCGUAACGCGUAUGCAAUCUACCUUUCACAGAGGGAUAGCCCAGAGAAAUUUGGAUUAAUACCUCAUAGUAUAGCAGUUUCGCAUGAAACCACUAUUAAAGUCACAACGGUGAAAGAUGAGCAUGCGUCCCAUUAGCUAGUUGGUAAGGUAACGGCUUACCAAGGCAACGAUGGGUAGGGGUCCUGAGAGGGAGAUCCCCCACACUGGUACUGAGACACGGACCAGACUCCUACGGGAGGCAGCAGUGAGGAAUAUUGGACAAUGGGCGCAAGCCUGAUCCAGCCAUGCCGCGUGCAGGAUGACGGUCCUAUGGAUUGUAAACUGCUUUUAUACAGGAAGAAACACUACUUCGUGAAGUAGCUUGACGGUACUGUAAGAAUAAGGAUCGGCUAACUCCGUGCCAGCAGCCGCGGUAAUACGGAGGAUCCAAGCGUUAUCCGGAAUCAUUGGGUUUAAAGGGUCCGUAGGCGGUUUAGUAAGUCAGUGGUGAGAGCCCAUCGCUCAACGGUGGAACGGCCAUUGAUACUGCUAAACUUGAAUUAUUAGGAAGUAACUAGAAUAUGUAGU